GCCCACACUCACGUACGUCUUUAGCGUGCUCCAGGAACCAUGCUUUGGCCGACUCGGCGUUGGUGAUGGUCUCCUGGGUGGUGAAGGUCUGACAAAAAUCACCAAGGGGAAGACAAAACUACCAUUAAAUGGAAAAAACGUUGCAAACCCCCCCCCCCCUUCCGUUGGAUCCCUACAGCACCUUGGAGGCAAUGAUGAAGAGCGUGGUCUCGGCGUUGAGCUGCGCUAGCGUCUUGGCGAUGUGCGUCCCGUCAAUGUUGGACACAAACCACACGGCAGGCCCGUCCUUAGAGUACGGUUUCAGGGCCUCGGUCACCAUCAGGGGCCCCUGCCGUUCGACAGAUCAUGUUAAAUGGUGUACCCCGCCUCCUGCCCGAUGAUAGCUGGGAUAGGCUGCGGCACGCCCGCGACCGUAGUGAGGAGAAGCGGCCCAGAAAAUGGAUGGAUGGAUGGAUUACCUCGCCAUUGUGAGGCUUCAAACAGGAUGUUUUCAGAGGGUAGUGGACACUGAGCUUAGUGUGUCACAGAACUUAGCGAUACAGAGGCUGGAAGACUCAAAGAAAGGCAUUGAACUAGACGUUGUGGUAAUUUCUGUUUGUGCAUGUGAGCUGAAGAAAUAAAGUAUCUGACUCAGA